UCCACAGGACACAAGAGAAAUCAAGGUGGGGGCACGAGGGUUUCGUGGAAGCUUCCAGAGCCAAGUGGUACCCAACUCAGAGGCUCUUGUGGGUCAGAAAGAGGUGUUUGGACUCGAGGCUCCAGGUCGUGGGUGUUUGCGUGGUGUGUGGCACGAUGAGGGAUGCUGGUAGAGAGCUGGAGCCUGCGGAGAAGACCCCAGACACGGUUGGGUCAUAUCUCGAACCCUUGUACAGGACUAAGAUUCAAGUCAGACAGCACUCCUGACCUCGUAGAAUUGAUGGUCUAAGGCAGGCAGAGAUGAAUCGAUUGUGAGAAGAAAGGGCGUCCAUCUCUUUGAGCCACUGAGGGCUGGACCUCACACUGGAGUCCCGACUUCCAAAUACAGGGAUCAGGGCAGUUCUUACAUCUUCUAAAAACAUUCAGCUCUUAUCGGCAGAUUCCCAAUCUGGCUGGCUGCUUGCCAAAGGUCGAGGUGGACUCCGGAAGUAGCCAGUGGAGUGGGGAGCUGUCCACGGCCCUUCCAGGGCCUCUGUACCUUUCCCCAGGUCACGAGUGGUUUUCCAGAUUGGGGGUCUAAGCCUCUCAUCUGCUGUGUGCCAGCUUAAUCUUUUUACAGCUGAGAGAACUGAGGCCUGGAGAGAAGUUAAAUCCACUCAUCCACGCGCAGAAAGUUACUAGAAUAAUGAUCGCAACCUGGAGCCUGCGCGCAGCCAGAUGCGCCUCUGUAAAUGGGAAUGAACACGCUUGUUUGCCAGGAGAGAGGACGGUCCUGGACUGUCCCCGCUUUACAGAUGGAGAAGCCGCAGGCUGAGAGAGCAUCUUCUGUUCACGGGCAGUGAGACACCAGCUUGGAGGAGGCCAAGAAAACGGGGGCCAAAAAUAUCCUGGAGGACCGAGGGCUUGGUGCUCCAUUGCCAUCAUGAGCAGGGGAGGAGGCUACGUCCAUUGCAGAAUCUUGACCUCCCUGGAUGCGGACCCCAGCCUGCCCCCUCUGGUUUCUCUUUAUCUUUUUCUCGGGGUGAUGGUGAUGGGGUUUGUGUCAUACCAGCGGUGCUCAGGGGAUACUUGCAGUUCAGUGCUUUGGGGUCACCCCCCAGCUAUUCAGGAGGCUGUGCAGCCCUGGGGAUAGAACCAAAGCAGGCUGCAUGCCAGGCAAGCACCUUGCGCCCUGCACUGUCUCUUUUAGGCAGCCUUUGCCAAUCCUGCUCUCCCACCUGCUGAUCCCGUCAGCCCUGCCCAGGCUGAGAAGAUAGAGGGGUCAGGCCCAGAAAGGCCAAGCCAUGAACCUGGCCUCUUGCCCGACCACUGGGAGGCAGCUGGGCCUUCUAGAGACCACAGAUAUUGAGAAGCUUUGCACGUUGCAGUCUCAUCUUGAAAGUAGCCAGAGUGAUGGGAGCAAGCUGACCAAACGUGGAGGCUGAGCGGUUGAAGAAUGUUUGGAACCAACCCCAAGGUUGUCAUGGAGGCUACUUCUUGGCCAAACUAAGAUGAAAGAAGUUCAUCUCAGAGCCCUGCCCCUUUCCCUCCCCAAGCCCUUCUCCCCUUCAUCAGGUAUCUUCUAUCAUCAGUCAACUGUCAUGGAGAAAACGAUUGUUCUAUCUAAUUUAUACUAAAGUAAAAAUGACUGAUAGGACUGUCAUGUUUCACGUUUCUCUGCUGGACAAUGUCUAAUCUAAGGGAAUGAACCUUAAUGGUCAAACUAUAAGCAGUUCUAUGAGCCUCUCUAGAUCUCCUGGGACUUAUGGCUUUGGUUUUCCCGUUAUCUCCACUUUGAACAGUUUCACGACCCUCUAACUCAGAGGCUCUGAGGGAUUCCUAGGAGCAGUGGCUACAUGCAGGCCCCAUGCUAAGGAUGCUUCCUGUAUCAUGACAACAGCAAAUCACACAUCCUGCUUCUACCUAUCCCCCGAAGUCCCCUUGAUUGGCCACGUGUCACAGAAAAGGAAAGUCACAUUCGGAGCAUUGAAGCAACUGGCAGAAGGUCACUCAACGAGCAUAUAGCAGAAUCAAGAUGUGAACUUACAUCUGUUUGCUUCAAAGUCCACUGUCACAGUCCAUGAUAUAUUCGGCUUCUCCUUUUGAGCCAAUAAGCGUCCUUCAAUGACUGUCUGCAGGAGGAAGUCUGACUCCUCCAGGUGGAGACAGAUGCACGUCACCAAUGGAGGGGCCCAAUCUCAUACCCUUGACUGGAGUCCUGUGAGAGGAACCUCCUGCCUGUCUGUCAUGGUUGGUGAAGGGCAGGUUCCAGACAAGGCUGAGGAUUUAGACCUUGACUGGAAGGCGGUGGGGCCUCUGUGGUUGAUGCAGAGCACUGGUUGAAGCUGACCAGCUUCCUGAAAGACAGGGUCCAUGCAAAGAGAGAUGAGGAAGAUAUGGAGAAAGUGAUCCCAGACAGACAGAACUCCUCAACAUUGCCAUCUCAGACUGGAUCUGAAAUCUAGGAAGUGGCAGUGAGCAAUUUCCAUGUCCUUCUCAGGUCUCUGAACUUGGGGAAACCACAACCUAAAGGAUGUUUUAAAAAGCAAAAGGAAGACAGUGAGUGGCAGCCAGGAGAGAGGUCAGGGGAGAGGAAGGGGAAGGAAAGGAAGAGGGGCAGCAGCCAGAACCUGGGCAGGAGUACCGUCCACUAUUGCAGAAGGGAGAGUGUCCCGGCAUUGCUUCAUGGCUGGCACCAAAGCCUGGAGGAGAAGUAAGGUGGGGGGAUGGACUGCAGGAAAGUCUGGUGGCCAGAGGAAGGAUAGGCUUAUUGGGUAGGUCCUGGAAAAAAUAUGGAUUAGUUAAUGGAGUGUAAGGGGGUCUGGUUAUCUAGUCUCCUCAGUGCCCUCUCCCCCCUCACUCAUUAUCCCCCGUACACUCUUGGCUUCUCUGUUGUCAUGAAUUGCCUAUUUGGGCUCAUACCUAUACUGUUGCUGAUUCUGCCUCAUGUGUGUUUCUAUGCUCAUUCGGCUCUGGUUUGAUGCCUAUCUCUUUAGGGUAGAGUUUGAAGUCAGGAAGGGUGAUGCCUCUGACUCUGUGGUUCUUUCUCAGGGUGGACUUUGGCUCUUCAGCGUUCUUUUCUGGUGCUGCACAAGUCUUGGCAUUUUUUCUAGUUUUUAGACAAAUAUCAUUAUAAUUUUGAAAGGGAUUACAUUUAACUUGGGGACUGAUUUCUCAGCUGUGGCCAGGUGGGUCAAACCUACAAAGACCUCUAGCCUCACACCUGUGACAGUGGCUGUUUUGCAAAAGGUCAAGAGAGAGGGGCUGGUGAGCACGUGGAGAGAGGGAAGCAUGGGUACCAGCAGUGGUAAUGUAAGUAGAGGCAGCCAUUACAGGAAGCUGUAUGGAGCUUCUGGAAAAGAUUAUUGAUAGGGCUGCUUUGGGGUGUGUAUGGGCAGAAAAGAGCGAGAUCUCAAAGACACAGCUGUACAUUCCCGUUAAUGUCAGCAUUUCUGCCACAGCCAACUUGGGGACAUGACCCCAGUGUCUGUCCUUGGAUGAGUGGGAGCGAGAAGUGUAGUUUACUGAGACAGUGUAACUGUCCUCAUCCAGGAAAAGAAUCCUGCCAUGUGUGGCAAUGUGGAUGGAACACGAGGGCACUGUGCAUGUUUGUAAUCCAGAGAUAAUCCAGAGAAACAAAAACCACAUGGUAUUGCAUUUAUGUGGGAUCUGAAAAUAAGUCAAAGCCAAAGAAAGAAAAAUGGAAGAGCAAUUGUCACGGCUGGAAUUUGGGGAGAUGGGGAGUAUGGUAAAAGGGUACCAACUUUCAGCUUUGAGAUGAAUGAGGUCAGAGGAUUGGCUGUGAAACACGAUGACUAGGCUGGAGAGAUGGCACAGGAACUAAGGCUCUGGCCUGCAUGCAGUUGAUCCCAGUUCAACUUUUGGCACUGCAAAUGGUACCCCAAGAAGUAUCGCCAGGUGUGAUAGUUGAGAAUAAAGCUUGGAUUAAGUUCUGAGCAAUGAUGAGUAUGGCCCCCAAACCAAACAAAAACUUCAGACCGACUACAGCUAUGAACCCUGAAUUGUUUGAAGGAAUUUUGCUAACAUGGUAGAAAUGAAAUAUCUUCACAAAAAUAACAUAGAAGAGACAGAUGAGAAGCAACAGGGACCAGGUGAGGGGAGUCAGGGACAAAGGUUUGUUUAGGACUGACAAAAUCAAAUAUCCAAACCACAGAGUCAACAACACUGAAAUCAGGAAAGCUAAACUUUAACAACCAAACUUAGAAAUGUGCCUAUUAAGAGGGCAGGCAGGAGGGGUAAGGGGGAUAUGGGAGGGAACCUGGGAACAUUGGCAGAAGGAAGUUGACCCUGGUGGUGGGAACUGGUGCUGCAAUAUUGUGUAUCUGGAACUCAACUAUGAAUAACUUUGUAAAUCACAGUGCUUUAAUAAUAAAAAAAAUGUGUGUGGAGGGAAAUAACAGAGCAACCAACUAAUUAACUAGAUGGGGUGAAUUGUUUUUUUUUACCAUGUACAUACAUAGGC